UACGGAGGGUGCGAGCGUUAAUCGGAAUUACUGGGCGUAAAGCGCGCGUAGGCGGUUUGUUAAGUCAGCUGUGAAAGCCCCGGGCUCAACCUGGGAACUGCAUUUGUGACUGCACGGCUGGAGUGCGGCAGAGGGGGAUGGAAUUCCGCGUGUAGCAGUGAAAUGCGUAGAUAUGCGGAGGAACACCGAUGGCGAAGGCAAUCCCCUGGGCCUGCACUGACGCUCAUGCACGAAAGCGUGGGGAGCAAACAGG
rnacentral:rRNA from 1 species